rnacentral:rRNA from 1 species
UACGUAGGGGGCAAGCGUUAGGCGGAAUCACUGGGCUUAAAGCGUGUGUAGGCGGAUGCCUAAGUACCUUGUGAAAUCCCACGGCUCAACCGUGGAACUGCUGGGUAUACUGGUCGUCUUGAGCCACUUAGGGGCUACCGGAACAAAUGGUGGAGCGGUGAAAUGCGUAGAUAUCAUUUGGAACGCCAAUGGUGAAAACAGGUAGCUGGGAGUGUGCUGACGCUGAGACACGAAAGCCAGGGGAGCGAACGGG